rnacentral:sRNA from 1 species
CUGACAGGCCUAGAGACUAAAUUCCUCUAUUUAUCCACAGAAACAAAUGCAGGUUUCUCUUCAUUGUCCCAUCAACGUGUCGCAACCUUGUCCUUAAGAAAAGAGCUCAGUCUCCAUGGCCCUCUCAAUUCUCUGUAAGA